CCAUUUCAAUUUUUUUGUCUCAUUCCAUCGUUUCAUGAGAGGCAUGUCUCUAUUUUUUCUCAAUACAAAUCCACAUGCACGAACAGCCGGAAACAUCUCAUAUAUCCAUAUCUACAAUUUUUACAAUUAUAGUAAUAAAAGUUAAAAUUAAAAUAACAAACAUAACAAUAAAACCAUUUAAAUAUAAGUAAAUUUUUAUACCCUAAUUGGAGCCGUAAAUACUGAGAAGGAGUAUUUUAAAAUUUGACGACGCUUAGGAAGUGAUAAAUAUUUAUUUAUCUUGUUCCAUGUAUCCUCAAUGUCAUCAUACGUAAAAUCUCAUUAGAUAACUACCCCAAGCGAAACUAACAAAACAAAAAAAUUAGUUAUAAUAUAAAUUAACAUUAAUAAUAUAAAACUUUCAAAGUAAACAAAAAAUACUUGUUCCAGACUUCCAAAUUCUCAGCAAAAAAAACCAAUCUUAUGGCACCCGAUCAUUUAUUUCUUUUCCCAAAAAACCUUCACACAAAACGUAUAUCAAACAUACUCUAACUGCAUCGGCGUCGUCAACUUCUAAGAAUGAUUGAUUUAAAAUAAAAUUUUCCAGGUCGUCGAUUUUCACCGAUCUAUUUGUAUAGUUCGGAAAUAGCCGCUCACGCAAUAAACAUCUUUUUUUACUACUAACUAUUUUUUCUAACACUUUUUUCCUGAUGUUUUUUGGAUACUCACCAAAAUUGAAGCCGAUUAUCAAACAAAACUCUUCCGGCCCAUAUACCAUUUUCGCAUCGCCUACUCUAAAAUAUAACCGUUUUAUUCCAUCUGGAGAUAAAACAGCGUCCGACUGUAUCUGAUGAAGGAACAUUUUGUGGAACAACAAUCCGUCCCCUUGUAAACGUGGGACGUCCAACAAGUAACCAAAUACGGUAUCUCUAAAUAUAUCACGUCUGACACCAUCUAACACUUCAAAUACUUCCCAUAUAUUACACCCAAAUUCUUUUAAGUUUACAAUUGCUUUCACAUUGAAAUUAUUAUAAUCAUGUUGCACAAAACACAAUAACAUAUUAGAAAACUAAACAAAUAUUUCAUUUUAAAAUAUAUGAUUAUUAAAUGCAAUAAUAACAUAAACAAUAAUAACAAUGCAAAUAAAAAUAUUUAAUAAAUAAUUUAUAUAUUUACGCUAAAAAACAAUAACAUACUAUAGCAAAUUUUCAACUUAAACGACAACUAUAUAAACAAUUUUCCAAGUUAUAUGACCAAUAUACAAACAAUUUUUAUCUUUCUAAUUGUAUAAAAUGACGUUUUCUAACCAUAUAAACAAACAAUUUUUCAACUAAAACGACAACUAAAUUAACAAUUUUCCAAGUUAUACGAUAAAUAUACAAACAAUUUUUAACUUUCAAAUUAUAUAAGAUAACAUUUUCUAACCAUACUACAAAAUUUUUUCUACUAAAACAACAAAUAUAUACAAAUUUUCAAGUUAUACGAUAAAUAUACAAACGACUAUUCUACACAUAUUAUAAAAUUUUCUAACCAUACUAUAAAAUUUUUUAUACUUCACCAACAAAUAUAUACAAAUUUUUAAGUUAUACGACAAAUAUACAAACGACUAUUCUACACAUAUUGUAAACAUUAUUUUAACCAUUUUUCAAUUUAUAAAAACAAUUAUACCAUAAGAAUAUACAAAUUUUCAAGUUAUACAACAACUAUACAAACAACAAAUAACAUAUUCUAAUCAUGAUAUAUCAAUUUAUCAACUUAAACCACUAACCAAAACAUAUUCUAAACAUUAUUCUAACAAUUUAUUUAACUAAUAACUUAAAAAAAUUAGCAUAUUCUAACCAUUUUACUAAAUGUACAACUAUCUGAUGCACACUCUACGCAAUCUCUACUUGUACAUUCAUACAACCACUAACAAAACAGCAUUUAAACUUCAAGUUUACUAAUAACAAAUAUUAAAACUAUCAAAUACAAUAAAAUUACCCUAUCACAAACAAUAUAAUUUUAUUUUUUGCGGGAUUGUUGAAAUAAUCCUCCAUUUUCUUCAAAAAAUCGUCAAAAGGAAUUCCCGAGAGAGAGAAUUUUUCUAUAUUGAAGAGUGAAAAAUGAAGAAAAAAAAAACGCUUUUAUAGAGUUUUCCCCCAAAAAUCGCAGAUGAACAGUACAAAUCGCAGAUGGGGCUUUUCCAUCUGUGAAUUUAGUGGUUAUUUUUGCAUUUUUUUUGCUAAAUUUGUAAGUUAAUUAGUGUAUUUGACUAAUUUUGUCAUUUUCUCAAAAUUUAAUGGGUGAGAUACAUUCACAACACCAAAUAUGAGAAUUAAAAUUAUCGACCUCUAAAAAAAGGUAUGACUUUAUUGAUUUCACCAUUUUUAAUGUUUAAAACUCACAUUUUUUGUAUUUUACCAUUAGAGUUGGUUAUUGGAUGUUAAAAAUAAGUUAACACAUAAAUAAUAUGAUAUUUAGAGAUUUAUUAGAGUGAAAAUGAUAUUUUAGAGGUUUGUUGGAGUGUAAAUGAUAUUUGGAGUGAAAAUGAUAUUUGAGAGGUCUAUUGGAGUUGACUAAGUAUAACUAAAAUUUUUAAAUAACCCACAUCUUUUAUGUAUUUAUGUUCUAUUUACUUGGGUUUUCUAUCGUUAUUAAGUUUUUGUUAGAUUUCAAUACAAGCCAAAUAUUUUCUUGAAAUUUGAAUUUUGUCCAUUUUGAAAAUAUUUUUGAAAUUGCGACGAACCAAGUUUUUUUAUGUUGUAAUUCUUAACCUGACAUUCUAGGUUUAAUAUAUUUUUUUUAAUUAAAGAAAAUUACGUUUAAUAUGACUUAAAGACAGUCUUAUAUGAAUUUUAUCUAUUACGAAACGUUUCAUUUCAUACUUGUAAAUAACUCAAAAUCUUUAUAACUCUUUUAAAAGAUGUCAUUCAAAUUAAUAUGGUUCCAGAUAAAUCACCUAGUUUCCAUAAUAUUUUUUUGAAAUUCCUAUAUUUUCAACUAAUGCCAAUUAAGUGUAUGAUUAGAUGAAAUCCUUUUAUAUAUAUAAAAACAACAUUAUUUUCAUGUUUGAUUAUUCAAAUAUAUUCUCUUUACUUUUAUUUAUUGUUAUCUAAAGCACAUGGAAAUAAAAAAGAAGGUGUGUGUAUGUAUUAAGUCCCAUUCAUAAGAUUGAAGGUUAAAAUUAUUUAUAUUAGUCUAAUCUUUGAAUAAAGAGUGGUAUGAUAAUCAAUGUUUUAGAAGACUAAAAACCAUUUGGGUUAUUCUUCUUUCUUUCAAUUUAUAUCCUCAUAUUUUCCAUCUACUUUUUCUAUAUUGCAAGAAAACAUUUAUGGUUGUGUGUUUAGAGAAAAAAAAUUGUUUUAAUUUAUGUAUUACAAUUUGUUAAAGAUAUAUUACCUUAGUUUGUAAUAUAUAUGAUUGGAAAAAUAUAAUAAGAUAGUGGUGUCCAAAUUUCCAUAUAACAAAAAAGAAAAACAAAAAAAAUACAAAUUUAAUUAUAAAAUCAUCCUUAUCAGUUUAUGUUUUUUUUUUUUUUUCACCUUAUAUUUUAACACGCGGUAAUCUUUUUAAGUAAAAAUACUUAUUUUUAAGAUUAUCUUUAUCUUGUAAUAGUAUCAUAUAAACAUUUUAACAAAUAAUUAACCAUAAUUGGUUCAGAUAAUGCAUUUUAUCAAAUACACAUUUAACAAAUAUUUCAAAUAAUAAACAUCAAAUUUCACAUAUAAACUUUCAACAAUUAUUUAAUACUUUUUAAUAAAUUAUGGUAUUAAAUUAUGCUCAUAAAAAAGAACAAUGCAGUGCGUUGAUGUAUGUGUGCGUUAAUGUAUGUGGAAGAGUCAUGGGAAAGUUAGAUCAUUGACUGAUGCUUAAAGUUCUCUUUAAAACGACUUAAAUACGAGUAUUAUUAACCCCUAGUAUUUGUUCAUAUUUAUAGAGUUUAAUCGUUAUAAGUUUUCAUCAGAUUAAUCAAUAAUCCCAAAUGAAACACUGACGUAUAGCUGAUAACAAACAAACAUGUAAGAUCGUAUCGGAGGUAUGAUCAGUUUGGCAUAUAAAGAUAUAUUGUUUGGGAAAUUCACUUUAAACACCUCACUAAUCUUACCAUGUCAUCAUUUCCGCCCAUAUAUCGGUUAGUAUAAUGACUAAUAUUACUGUAGAUAUUAUUUAUAAGUUCAUAAUAACGAUUAUAAACAAAAACAUAAGUUAUACUUAAAACACGGUAAGCAUAAACUCGACUUACAGGUUGUUUGACGAAAACAGGGGAUUACGCGGGCAAAACUUCAAAACUAAAUGCUCUAUUUCUCGGGGAACUCUUAUACUACAGAGCUUCGCUACUAACACUUAAGAACCACAUGGGUUGGGCCUCGGGGCCUUAGGGAAGUUUG
rnacentral:lncRNA from 1 species